UCCCUUCCCCUCUUCCUUCUCCUUCUCUCUCCCCCCCGUCUCCCCAUUGCCUUCCGGUGCACGUCGAAGCAGCCGCACGUAGUUAUCGGGACUUCUGCUUUAUGGAGGCGUUAUCGGGAAUCUAACGCAGAAAGAGACAAACCAGAUGCUACUGUUCUUCAGCCACCGCCGCCACCAACAUUAUAAAUCCAGAUAGUGUUGCCACGGCAUCCACUCUGUAUAUAUAGCUUUUCACUUCGGAAUUAUAUCCUCUCAAUAAUAGGGAAUUAGGGAUCCAAUAAAUUGUUUGAUAUAUUGCGGUUA